CUACGGGUCGCACCAGUGGGGAAUAUUGCACAAUGGACGCAAGCCUGAUGCAGCCAUGCCGCGUGUAUGAAGAAGGCCUUCGGGUUGUAAAGUACUUUCAGCGGGGAGGAAGGGAGUAAAGUUAAUACCUUUGCUCAUUGACGUUACCCGCAGAAGAAGCGCCGGCUAACUCCGUGCCAGCAGCCGCGGUAAUACGGAGGGUGCAAGCGUUAAUCGGAAUUACUGGGCGUAAAGCGCACGCAGGCGGUUUGUUAAGUCAGAUGUGAAAUCCCCGGGCUCAACCUGGGAACUGCAUCUGAUACUGGCAAGCUUGAGUCUCGUAGAGGGGGGUAGAAUUCCAGGUGUAGCGGUGAAAUGCGUAGAGAUCUGGAGGAAUACCGGUGGCGAAGGCGGCCCCCUGGACGAAGACUGACGCUCAGGUGCGAAAGCGUGGGGAGCAAACAGGAUUAGAUACCCGAGUAGUC
rnacentral:rRNA from 1 species